GAUGAACGCUGGCGGCGUGCCUAAUACAUGCAAGUCGAGCGAACAGACGAGGAGCUUGCUCCUCUGACGUUAGCGGCGGACGGGUGAGUAACACGUGGAUAACCUACCUAUAAGACUGGGAUAACUUCGGGAAACCGGAGCUAAUACCGGAUAAUAUAUUGAACCGCAUGGUUCAAUAGUGAAAGACGGUUUUGCUGUCACUUAUAGAUGGAUCCGCGCCGCAUUAGCUAGUUGGUAAGGUAACGGCUUACCAAGGCGACGAUGCGUAGCCGACCUGAGAGGGUGAUCGGCCACACUGGAACUUAGACACGGUCCAGACUCCUACGAGAGGGAGCAGUAGGGAAUCUUCCGCAAUGGGCGAAAGCCUGACGGAGCAACGCCGCGUGAGUGAUGAAGGUCUUCGGAUCGUAAAACUCUGUUAUUAGGGAAGAACAAAUGUGUAAGUAACUAUGCACGUCUUGACGGUACCUAAUCAGAAAGCCACGGCUAACUACGUG
rnacentral:rRNA from 1 species